CUUUUCAGUGGUGCCCAGUGCCAGGACAAGGGCCACGGGCACAGACUGGCACACAG
rnacentral:miRNA from 7 species